GAGGGUAUAGCUCAAAUGGUAGAGCGCGUGCUUAGCAUGCGUGAGGUCCUAGGUUCAAUCCCCAGUACUUCCU
rfam:Camelus ferus unplaced genomic scaffold scaffold2317, whole genome shotgun sequence.